rnacentral:rRNA from 1 species
AUUGAACGCUGGCGGCAUGCCUUACACAUGCAAGUCGAACGGCAGCACGGGUGCUUGCACCUGGUGGGGAGUGGCGAACGGGUGAGUAAUACAUCGGAACAUGUCCUGUAGUGGGGGAUAGCCCGGCGAAAGCCGGAUUAAUACCGCAUACGAUCUACGGAUGAAAGCGGGGAACCUUCGGGCCUCGCGCUAUAGGGUUGGCCGAUGGCUGAUUAGCUAGUUGGUGGGGUAAAGGCCUACCAAGGCGACGAUCAGUAGCUGGUCUGAGAGGACGACCAGCCACACUGGGACUGAGACACGGCCCAGACUCCUACGGGAGGCAGCAGUGGGGAAUUUUGGACAAUGGGCGAAAGCCUGAUCCAGCAAUGCCGCGUGUGUGAAGAAGGCCUUCGGGUUGUAAAGCACUUUUGUCCGGAAAGAAAUCCUUGGCCCUAAUACGGUCGGGGGAUGACGGUACCGGAAGAAUAAGCACCGGCUAACUACGUG